GUUUACGAACAUAAUCACAUUGAAAGUACGACAUCUCGUCAGAUCUGUCAAGUUAAGCAACAUUAGGUUUCUGGUUAGAAGUUAAAUUGGCGACGGUCGGGAAUUGCAAGUGUUGGAAACA
rnacentral:rRNA from 1 species